ensembl:lncRNA
GUGAAAUCUUAAAAAAAAAAAAAAAAGGUCAAACUUAUAUAAACAGAAAGUAGAAAGGUGGUUGCCAGGGGUAUGGGGCAGGGGAAAAGGGGAGAGGCAGGUGAAAGGGGACAAACUUUCAACUCUAAUGUCAAGAACUUCUGAGGAUCUAAAGUCUGAUGUGGUGACUAGAGUUGACAACACUGAAUUUUACAGUUGAAAUCAGCUAAGAGAGAAGCACUUCGAUGUUCUCACAGACACAAAGUCAAUGUGAAAGGUGAAAAACUAUUGGAGGUUAGGACAGAGGAGAAUGAGUGUAUGAAUCCCUGGGAACUAGAUCAAAUUCCUGGGAGAACUUCAGACUUUCAAAGGCCAUGAGAUCGCUGGCUUCAAACCAAGAAUCCAGGAGACGCAAGGAACCCGGUGACCUCUGGCUUCCAGGGGGAAGACAUAGAAAACUAGCUAAGGUCUAGAAGGCCCAGGAGGGUAGAGGGAGGGAGACGUAGGCUAGAGGGUGGGGGAGGGGCUCUGGUCCAGCCUGCUCCCCUGCUGUCCCCUCCCCAGCCCUCAAGAGCCCUUUGUGACAAGGCCGCACUUCUGUCAUGGGGGCCUGGGGUAAUAAUCUCCAAGCCACUCCCAGAGCUCAGUCGCCUGAGGGCAGCACUGCGUUUCAGACAUGCAGAAUCCUCUCAUGUUUCUGAAAAGCCUCUUUGCUACCUGGCCGAGCUCCAGUUCCACUUCCUGGGUGAUUGGGACCAUCCUCCCCUUCCUGUGUGGACUGGGGCUCUUCCUCCUGUGCCUUCCCUCCCUGCAGAGGAAUCCAUCCUCACGACCACCUUGUGAACGCAGAAACAUAAGGAAGGUAAGAAACCCUGGGCAGAGACCCACCAGAAGAUGAGUCUCUCUUCUGUUCCACUGUCAUUUCCAAGAUUCUGAAUCAAAGUAGAGGGACUCCGGAACUGGCAGAGAAUACAACAUCAUCCUUCCACGGACAAGCCAGGCUGGGCGAGCAGGGAUUAGAGAGGGCACGAGGAUUUCCCUCGGAAGAUCUCAGAGCAGGAGUCCAGGUGUGGUAGAGGGCUCCAGGGAAAGUCCCCAGUCCAGUGACCAGAGGCUGAGGAAGGGAUGCUGAGUGGGAUCUGUGUGGGAGGACAGGUCUUGAGCUCUGGUUCCCCCACCGCCUUCCUGGGGCAGGCGUCUUGAGCAGGCCUUUCCUCUGUCGGGACUGAUCUGAGGGCAGUGCUGAGCCCCCGAGAGCCUCCAGGCAGGGUCUGGAGUGGGGCUCGGGCCUCGGGAAGCAGAGUCCUCCCUGAGGAAGCUCAGAAGCUUCUGGACGUCUGCGAAUGUGCGUGAUUCUUGAACAGAGGAACAGUGAUGAAAGAAAUCCAUGGUGGGUCUCACACAGAAAAUCAUCCUUCCUCACGUUCUCCAAAGAAGGAAGACACCAAAGAUCCGUUUCAUGUUCUAGUCUCCACUUCAAAAAUGAGUAAAAGGAAAGAAACACCCCCGGGCGCCAGGAGCUGAGUGUAGGCAGUCAUCUUCCUCAUAAGCGCUAAGUGUCCACGGCUGGUCCAGAGACAGGAGAGGGAGCCCCCACAGCUGCUUCUUUUUUCUCUCACUUCAGCGUCAAGUGGAGCCAAGAGGGAAGAGCAGCAGGAGCAGGAAGAAAAGGGGAGCUUUGAAAGGUAAGCUCCUGCCAUUCAGCCCCGUGCCCCAGAGCUGGCCCCCCCAUCUCCUGUCCCUGAGUGCCCAGCUCCACGGGCUCGAGGAUGCCAGGGGCAGAACCCGUCCCUCAGGAAACAGAACACUCAGGGAGGUUUGCGGGAGGGAGACGAAAACCUGAGGACUUGCCACAUUCUGUGCUGGGAACCAGGGCCCGGGCCAGGAGGGGCCUGGAACAGGGUCUCGUCCAGCCGGGGCAUGUGGGCUGUGGUGGAGGUGGAAGCGCGUGGUCAAUGACAUAGCUCAACCCAUCAGCAGCCUUGCCAGCCCCAUCAGGGAUCCGGUGGCCUUGGACACUGGUGCCCAGGUUCGACAGUCUGACCUCCCAACAGACUCCCCUAAAGGCACAGUGCACGCAGCCUCCUGUAAGAGCCCUAUCCACCGCCCCCGCCGCCCCCGCCCCGCUUUCAGUGCUGUGACCCAGUCUCCGGAUUUCUAGCUUCCAGAGCUGCUGGGAAGGGCCUGGCAGAAGUGCGGGGCCAGGUGUCGCUUUCGCACAGGUAAGGGAUCUUGCCCUUCUCUCCCGGACUUCUUGCUCCCAGAGUCUCUGGUGUGGCCCCAGGGCUGCAGGCAGAUUGGGGCAGAGCUGGGAGGGGAGCCAUGGGGACAGGGGUGGCCAAAGGCCUGCGGUGAGGGAGAGCAGGAGAAUUUGGUGAAGUGGAGGUGGGGCCAUGGAGGGCCAUGGCUCCCAAGGGGCCACCCCCGCCUGGACUGCCCUGCUGUCCCGGGCCCCUCUGCUCCCGGCUGCAGCUGGUGCCUCCUGUCUCCCGCAGCUCCCCAGGGAGGCUGUCUUCCAAGGGAUGCUCCCAUCGCUCAUCAUGUCAAGACUACCCUGGGGAGGCGAGCAACACAGCAUACGCCAGAGCCCAGCAGCCAUGCGGAAAGCCUGUGGCAGGUGCUACUCUCACCGUGACUCCAGCACAUUCCCUGAGUCCUCUGACCCACACCCCUAUACCUCUGGCCUCCACCCUGCCAGCAGAACCUCCAGCUGACUUGACCGGAAUCCCACUGGACACUACUGCCAUGAGCACAGCUCCAGCUCACUCCUGUUGGCCAUUUCCCAACUCAGGCCACGGCCGCAUGAGCUGGCGCGUCGAGUUCCUCUCCCGGUGGAACAUGAUCAAGGUCUUGUUCUUCCCCGGGUCAGCACACCUCCAGUCCCAGCAAGGGCACCUGUCCUGCCACCGACCAGUAGCCUCAUUCCGGGGAGGCCCCACACAUAGGGAGGGAGAGACGGAUAGCCCCUCAGUUGCCAACCCUGAUGCGCCAAAGCUGCUCAAGAUGGAAAUCAGGAAAAGAACACAAACGAAGGCCUGGGAAAAAGAAGAACAAGACGACCCAGGCAGCCCUCAGAUGCUCGAAGCACCCAGUAUCACGUCUGGGCUGAAUUUCCGCUGGCGCCCACCCCUCCUGUCCUUGGAGUCGGCUGAUCUGAACGCAAGUGAGGCUCAACCCUCGGCCCUUCCACGGUCUACUUUUCCCUCCUCUGCCACCCGUGAUUCUGGCACCCGCUUGGAGGCCGACAGUGCAGAGUUCUCGGGAAAACCUCUUGAGCCCCACCCAGGAGAGAAACAUAAGACUUUGACCACAAAAGCAUCAGUUCUGCGCCUGGCCCAUCCCCUCCCUUCAACUUCACCUGUGAGUGAGGAAAACCAGAAGGCCCCGGGAGGGACCCUACCUGGCAAUGGCUGUGGGCCCUCUGAGGCCUCUCUGAUGGGACAGCAGGGCCGGCCGCCUUCUCCGAGCUUCGCAUUCAGCCUCUCGGACAGAAAUGGGCAGAGCGGGACGGUCGUGGGGGCCAAGCAAGGCCGUCUACACCUGAGUCCAGGGUCAGCAAUGGCCAGGAACGAGCCUCUGAAAGAGAGUGGAGGUGGGGCGUCACCAGAGCCCUGCCGUGGGGUGGCAACACUGGAGGGCGAGUCAGGGUCCCAGUCUUGGAGCCAGGUCGGAGGAACAGGAGACGCCCUCGGGACCAAACCCCUCCAGGCCCUGCCUGAAAAAGAAGAGGUUUUUCACGUCAGCCCUUUCAGAAAAAUGUUGAGACGCUUCCUGCCCUGCCUGAGGCCCAAGAAGGAGGAAGCACCAGAGGAGCCCCUUGCAAAGGCAAGCCCGCGUCAGCCACCGCCCAGAGCCAGGCACGGGUCACACGCAGCUCGGCGUCGGAUGGCAGGGCUGUUCAGGCGCCAUCGACAGUAUCAUCCUUUGUCUGGGCACUGGGAGAGAGACUGAGGGUUCGCCAAGGACUUCUAGUUUUUCUCCUUACCUCACCCUCUGUGGUGAUGGUGACUUCCAACCCCAAUUUUCCCCAAAUACAUGUUUUUUCUCCUGAGACCUGGUGGCCUCCGUCUUGCCCUGCUAGGGGUAGAAGCAGGGUCAGGCUCCGCCCUCCCUGAGUGUCUGCUGUGGCUUCCAGAAGGGACAGGGCCAUGCGGGGAGGCUGACUGCAGCGUGGCUCACGCGCCCUGACCCCAACUCCCUCAUUGCACGCGAAGUACCCAUCACGCCAUCCUUACAAAAACAAAUGGAAGCUUUAGGAUAUUUCCAGAGGAGCAAAACCUCUAGACCCCAGCCCAGGAUGGGCCCCACCCGUCCUCUCCUGCGUUCUCUGGCCCUUGAGCUUCUGGGGCUGUAGGGAGGGGGUUUGCAGAGGCUCCAGGAAGUGUAGAGACAGAUUCACAGGUCACAGGGCGGGGAGGGGAGUGUGGGGCAGUGCUGGCCCUGAGUCCGGAGAGGGAAAGCUUGCCCUGCACCCCGAGCUCUUGGUGGGAAUAGAUGACGCUGCCCCAGGAGCUUCUUCUGUCCCUGCUGAAGCUGCCAUGGAGAUGGGCCUGCGCAACCCCCUCAGCCCAGCGUCGCCCUCCCUCUGUCCUUGUCACAGUCUGGAACAGCAGCGACGACCACGACUGAGCUCCAGCCUCUGAGGGUGGGCGGUUGGGGAGCACAGAGGCUGCUGCGGGCCUGUCCCCUCUGCCCAGAGGAGCACAGGGCCCUGCUCUCCUGCACCUGCCUUCUCCUCCUGGGGAAUGGAGCCGGGGGGUGAGUGUGUGGCGGCAGGAUCUGAUGAUGGGACACUGUGCACGUAGGGUGGGACCUGGGAGAAGGAGACAAAGUGCCACCAGAGUUUAACCACUUACCUACUGAAGGACAGUUUUUGGUUUUUAUAAUUUUGUCCCCUAUGCGUAAAGCUGCUAUGAACUUCUGGUGAAGGUUUUUGUGUGAACCUAAAUUUUUCUGCACAGUAAAUAUCAAUGGCAAUGAGUAACGAAGGUUUGAAAAUGGGCCCGCCUCCAGGAACUUAGAAAGAAUGCAACACGCAUUAGAGGUUGAAAGGCUGAAACAGGCAGAGAGAGUAACCCUAACACCAUAUCUUAGAUUGAGCCAUUUCCUCAGGAAAAAAAUGCCGUUACCUAACGCACGACAGGUGCCGAGGACGUGGGAGGGACAGGUAUCACCACAUUUAAUAAAACACCAUCAGAACGUAUCUGGACAGGAGACCCCUGACCUUUAACCUGUCACAAGCUCUUUGUUCUUCGUCUCCAGAGAACAUUAAGUAGACAGAGAGCCACACCUAUGGAGCAGGUCCCCUGAAUGAACUGGAUUUCCACUUGAAUUAAGAAGAAACUCAUCGUCGCUGUGGACUCAAAUUAUUUGUGAAUGAACAGACAACUUCAGUUUCUCAUUUGAAUACUAGCGCAGAAUCACUAGAUUAAAUGGUAACGGAAUCCAAUGAAUCCCAACAGAGCAAGAAAGUGUCAGUGUGUUCCUGGCCUUCCUAUCGCUUCUCUACUGAAUAGAAGAGCAAAGGGAACCUUUCUGAAACUCGUCUUAAUAUCGGAGCAGCAGGCAAUUCCUGUACUUCUGUCUUCUGCUAUGACAGAGAUAGAAAUCAUCGUGUAUGUCAGGGAAACAAUCCAAUUUCCCUAAAUUUGGGGUGGGCGGUCUUUAUUUAAUACCAGGGGUUCCCCUCUACUAUUGACACUAUUCCAGUUGGGUCAGGUUUCCUGGAAGAGCUUUCCGAUUGAUUUUCAUUUUAAAACACAUUCGCUCCUCAUCCUCUCUCUGAGCUGGCAGGCAGGCCAAUUCAGGGAACACGCGUGAGGCCUGAGUCAUGUCAGUCCCUGACCUGGGCAGCUGGCUGUGAGGAGGCCCUAACAGACCCAGAACUCUUGUGCGGAAGUGCCUGAAAGCGGGACUCACUGAUCACAGUCAUGGCUCCCAGCCCUUGGUCCCCAUUUGGAGGAAUGGCUCCCCCUCUGGUCUGCAGAUCCCAGGAGGCAGCUGCUGAGACCCUUGCUCUGAGUAGCUGCCGGCCACCCGAGUGGUGUUCCUUUCGUUUCUGCUUUCCUCAGCAGUACCGUGAGGUCCCAGGCUGCGCCACAGAGACUGUCCAACAGCUGGCCUCCCUGGGAAUGCCUGAUUGAGGCCCCAUUUCCUUACACUCUUCCCUAGAAGAUAGUGACUUCUGUACUCACCCAGAGAAUCUUCAGGAAAUCUAUGGUGGGGCGUCUUCAAAAAGAUGCCUAAGGUCUUCACAAGAAAUGGACACGGAGGUCUAGAACAAGUACCGAACAGGGUUAGCUUUAAAGUUGGUGAAAUAUAAGAAAGCUAAAUUAAGAUUGUCAAGAAUAUGAUGCAGUGGGAAAAUAAGUCGUCUAAAAUAUUGAAUUGCACCAACUGUUUCUUCAAGGCUGCGAUGAUCAUUGGAUUUUCUCAUUCAUUCUGUUAACAUGAUCUGUAAUAAUGGUUAAUUCUUUUGAAUGUGAAAACAACCUUGCCUUCAGGAACUCAACUCUCUUUAAUGGCUUUUGUGUCCAUUUGCAUUUCCCCAAGAAUUUUCAUUUCUUUAUCUGAAGCACUGGUGGAUUUCUCUCAUGCUCUUUCAUUGCCUCCACCUUGCUGGAAUAUACCGCACGUUCCAAUGCAGACAUCAGCAUUGUGCUUCCUAGCAGAGAAGGCUGGAACCAAAGAAAUGGGCAAACUCGGAGACUGCAGUGGAGGAUGUGGCAUUGCUGUUAACGAGACCAGGAACCUCACAUUUCAAGAAAAACCACAAUCUCCUUCAUGAACAUAGAUGCACAACUCGUAAACGAGUCAUAAGCAAAAUAUAGCACAGUGAAGAUGAGAUUUAUGAUACUAAAGUGAACACAUGUGUUUUGUUCAGAUCUAGUGACAGCCUGUAUCAUCUACAGUUCAUAAAUGAGGAAAAGUACUAGGAUAUUUCUUCAAAAUGGUACUUUAUUAUAAGGAUGAAGGCUAAAAACUUCUAUUUGGUGGCCUAUUAAUAAGUACAUUAUAGGUUCUUUUUAGUUUUCCCUUAUUUCUUCCUUAGUCCUAUGUUUGCUACGCUAGGCAUAUUUGAGUGCCCAGUAUCUACUCAUUGGCUUACUGGAAGGCCAUCCUUAUCAUAGAAGGACAAUCAGGUCAAAAUUGUGUUGAGCUCUGUGGGGUCAAGAACACAGGACUGAGAGUCAAGAGACUUUGUGAUAGGCCUACCUGUGCCACAAACUAGACAUAUGACCUUAGGCAAGUAAGUCACAUGGCUCAAACCCUACAUAGGCCUUUUCUGGAAGAGGUAUGCCUGGGCCCACAGAAUCUCAAAAUUCCUCCAUUUUGCUUGUAUCUUUCCAAAGUAGUUCCUGCUCUCCAAAACUCUGCGAUCCAGGACAAAAGUAAGACAUAGCUAUAGAUGAUUCUGCUACCAAACGAAUGCUAAAAGAGGUUUACUAGAAGUGGAAUGAUGCAUGUGGACAUAUCGACUUUGCAAGGUUCUCUGAAAUUCUUUUAAAGGAGGCAUUUAUAGAAUUGGAUUUUGAGUCAUGGUUAGGAUGUUAAAGAACUGUUAGAAGGUGCAGAGAAAAGGAAAACCUUGAUCAGAACAGGAAAGUAGGGUUGCAAUGCUUAGCACCUUGAGAAGUGGUGAGCGCACAGACUGUAUCGGUGAGAAGUGAUCCACUGGGAACGUGCUGUAAGAAUGUCUGGACAGAAUGCAGAGCUACAGGUUGACCCACUGCUCACAGUAAUUCCAUGUUCAGACAUGCUAGUGAUGCUCUUUUUUGUGUCAGAUCCUACAGAUAUCUAUUGUUUCUGCCGCAUUUGAACUAUUAAACUAUUCAAGAGUCAAUAUUUUAAAUGGAACCAUGCCUGACACUUCAUAACUGCUAUAUAAGUGUUUGUAAUUACAAAGUAAAUAAAUAACUAACUUCC